ensembl:ribozyme RNaseP_nuc Nuclear RNase P
GUGGGAGGAAGCUCAUUGUAGAGGUCACAUGCUGAGUGCUCGUCACUCGUCCAAUCACCUCGGGGAAGGUCUGAGACAAGAGCCAAUAGCUACCCUUGCAGGGUAUCACCUGACAAGGGUGAGCGAGUGCACAGAAAUAAUGGACCAAAGCGUGCAUUUCUCACAGGAGAAGCCAGAGGGCGCAGUUUCUCAGCUCCACUGGUGGAUGUGGUGUACGCUGGUUUGGAAUCACUUGCGGCUGGCAAAUGAGUCCGAUGUAUGAGGUGGGGCACAGCUCCAGAACCCAAUUCAGACUACUCUCCCCCCAC